rnacentral:ncRNA from 2 species
UAUUUUUGCACAAGUUUUGGUGAUGUGUGCAUUUUUCGUGCGACACAUUGAAAAGGGAAUCAGGUGAAAAUCCUGAACAGUCCCGCUGCUGUAAACUCUCUAAUAACUAUGGACGGUUCUCCGAGCCACUGACUUUAUUACUUAAAACAAAGUUGGGAAGGUAGUUUCAUAGGUGGAGUAAGUCAGAAGACCUGCCAAAAUGUAAUACAGUUU